rnacentral:rRNA from 1 species
CACGUAGGGGGCAAGCGUUGUCCGGAUUUAUUGGGCGUAAAGGGCGCGUAGGCGGCCUGACAAGUGGAAGGUGAAAUCCCUCGGCUUAACCGAGGAACUGCCCUCCAAACUGUUUGGCUUGAGUCCGGGAGAGGUGAGUGGAAUUCCCAGUGUAGCGGUGAAAUGCGUAGAUAUUGGGAGGAACACCAGUGGCGAAGGCGGCUCACUGGACCGGAACUGACGCUGAUGCGCGAAAGCGUGGGGAGCAAACGGG